GUGUACGUUGCAAAGUACUCAGAAGAAUUGUGGUAAGAAGUGAAAUACAAAUCGGACUAGGAUAUAGCUGGUUUUCUGCGAAAAUUGUUUUGGCAAAUUGUUUAUUUUUUUUCAUUCAUUCAAAGAAUGAAUGUAUAAUAAUAAUAAUAGUGGGUAUAGCACUGAAUACUUUGGGGGAGUAUUAUUAUAUUUAUCUCGGGUAUUUAAUCUCAAAAUAACCAUUUAUUUAUAGGUAAAUAAUCAGACUAUCUGCGAUAAGGUAGAUAGUCAAAAGGGAAACAGCCCAGAACAGUUAUUAAAGCUCCAAAAUUAAUAUUUAGUGAAAUAAAAGUUGUUGGUAGUCUUUUACAGUCAAGAAGUGGGCUUGGAAACAGCCAUC
rnacentral:rRNA from 1 species